rnacentral:tRNA from 2 species
GGAGAGGUGGCAGAGUGGUCGAUAGCGUUCGACUUGAAAUCGAAUGACCCAAAAGGUCCGUGGGUUCGAAUCCCACCCUCUCCG